rnacentral:rRNA from 1 species
GGGUUGUGAGGUUAAGCGACUAAGCGUACACGGUGGAUGCCCUGGCAGUCAGAGGCGAUGAAGGGCGUGCUAAUCUGCGAUAAGCGCCGGUAAGGUGAUAUGAACCGUUAUAACCGGCGAUACCCGAAUGGGGAAACCCAGUGUGAUUCGUCACACUAUCAUUAACUGAAUCCAUAGGUUAAUGAGGCGAACCGGGGGAACUGAAACAUCUAAGUACCCCGAGGAAAAGAAAUCAACCGAGAUUCCCCCAGUAGCGGCGAGCGAACGGGGAGGAGCCCAGAGCCUGAAUCAGCAUGUGUGUUAGUGGAAGCGUCUGGAAAGGCGCGCGAUACAGGGUGACAGCCCCGUACACAAAAGCGCAUGUGCUGUGAGCUCGAUGAGUAGGGCGGGACACGUGGUAUCCUGUCUGAAUAUGGGGGGACCAUCCUCCAAGGCUAAAUACUCCUGACUGACCGAUAGUGAACCAGUACCGUGAGGGAAAGGCGAAAAGAACCCCGGCGAGGGGAGUGAAAAAGAACCUGAAACCGUGUACGUACAAGCAGUGGGAGCNNNNNNNNNNNNGUGUGACUGCGUACCUUUUGUAUAAUGGGUCAGCGACUUAUAUUCUGUAGCAAGGUUAACCGAAUAGGGGAGCCGGAGGGAAACCGAGUCUUAAUUGGGCGUUAAGUUGCAGGGUAUAGACCCGAAACCCGGUGAUCUAGCCAUGGGCAGGUUGAAGGUUGGGUAACACUAACUGGAGGACCGAACCGACUAAUGUUGAAAAAUUAGCGGAUGACCUGUGGCUGGGGGUGAAAGGCCAAUCAAACCGGGAGAUAGCUGGUUCUCCCCGAAAGCUAUUUAGGUAGCGCCUCGUGAAUUCAUCUCCGGGGGUAGAGCACUGUUUCGGCUAGGGGGCCAUCCCGGCUUACCAACCCGAUGCAAACUGCGAAUACCGGAGAAUGUUAUCACGGGAGACACACGGCGGGUGCUAACGUCCGUCGUGAAGAGGGAAACAACCCAGACCGCCAGCUAAGGUCCCAAAGUCAUGGUUAAGUGGGAAACGAUGUGGGAAGGCCCAGACAGCCAGGAUGUUGGCUUAGAAGCAGCCAUCAUUUAAAGAAAGCGUAAUAGCUCACUGGUCGAGUCGGCCUGCGCGGAAGAUGUAACGGGGCUAAACCAUGCACCGAAGCUGCGGCAGCGACACUGUGUGUUGUUGGGUAGGGGAGCGUUCUGUAAGCCUGUGAAGGUGUGUCGUGAGGCAUGCUGGAGGUAUCAGAAGUGCGAAUGCUGACAUAAGUAACGAUAAAGCGGGUGAAAAGCCCGCUCGCCGGAAGACCAAGGGUUCCUGUCCAACGUUAAUCGGGGCAGGGUGAGUCGACCCCUAAGGCGAGGCCGAAAGGCGUAGUCGAUGGGAAACGGGUUAAUAUUCCCGUACUUGGUGUUACUGCGAAGGGGGGACGGAGAAGGCUAUGUUGGCCGGGCGACGGUUGUCCCGGUUUAAGCGUGUAGGUGUGUGUUCCAGGUAAAUCCGGUUCACUUUAACACUGAGGCGUGACGACGAGGCACUACGGUGCUGAAGCAACAAAUGCCCUGCUUCCAGGAAAAGCCUCUAAGCAUCAGGUAACAUCAAAUCGUACCCCAAACCGACACAGGUGGUCAGGUAGAGAAUACCAAGGCGCUUGAGAGAACUCGGGUGAAGGAACUAGGCAAAAUGGUGCCGUAACUUCGGGAGAAGGCACGCUGACACGUAGGUGAAGUGAUUUACUCAUGGAGCUGAAGUCAGUCGAAGAUACCAGCUGGCUGCAACUGUUUAUUAAAAACACAGCACUGUGCAAACACGAAAGUGGACGUAUACGGUGUGACGCCUGCCCGGUGCCGGAAGGUUAAUUGAUGGGGUCAGCGCAAGCGAAGCUCCUGAUCGAAGCCCCGGUAAACGGCGGCCGUAACUAUAACGGUCCUAAGGUAGCGAAAUUCCUUGUCGGGUAAGUUCCGACCUGCACGAAUGGCGUAAUGAUGGCCAGGCUGUCUCCACCCGAGACUCAGUGAAAUUGAACUCGCUGUGAAGAUGCAGUGUACCCGCGGCAAGACGGAAAGACCCCGUGAACCUUUACUAUAGCUUGACACUGAACAUUGAGCCUUGAUGUGUAGGAUAGGUGGGAGGCUUUGAAGUGUGGACGCCAGUCUGCAUGGAGCCGACCUUGAAAUACCACCCUUUAAUGUUUGAUGUUCUAACGUGGACCCGUUACCCGGGUUGCGGACAGUGUCUGGUGGGUAGUUUGACUGGGGCGGUCUCCUCCUAAAGAGUAACGGAGGAGCACGAAGGUUGGCUAAUCCUGGUCGGACAUCAGGAGGUUAGUGCAAUGGCAUAAGCCAGCUUGACUGCGAGCGUGACGGCGCGAGCAGGUGCGAAAGCAGGUCAUAGUGAUCCGGUGGUUCUGAAUGGAAGGGCCAUCGCUCAACGGAUAAAAGGUACUCCGGGGAUAACAGGCUGAUACCGCCCAAGAGUUCAUAUCGACGGCGGUGUUUGGCACCUCGAUGUCGGCUCAUCACAUCCUGGGGCUGAAGUAGGUCCCAAGGGUAUGGCUGUUCGCCAUUUAAAGUGGUACGCGAGCUGGGUUUAGAACGUCGUGAGACAGUUCGGUCCCUAUCUGCCGUGGGCGCUGGAGAACUGAGGGGGGCUGCUCCUAGUACGAGAGGACCGGAGUGGACGCAUCACUGGUGUUCGGGUUGUCAUGCCAAUGGCACUGCCCGGUAGCUAAAUGCGGAAGAGAUAAGUGCUGAAAGCAUCUAAGCACGAAACUUGCCCCGAGAUGAGUUCUCCCUGAGACUUAGAGUCUCCUGAAGGAACGUUGAAGACGACGACGUUGAUAGGCCGGGUGUGUAAGCGCAGCGAUGCGUUGAGCUAACCGGUACUAAUGAACCGUGAGGCUUAACCUUACAACGCCGAAG